AUGGGAUUAGGUGUUAUACUAAGGGGAGGAGAGGUGUGGGAGGUAACUGCUAUUUCAUUGGGUACUGUAUUAAUGAAUGUGAAUCCCUCCCUUGCAUGGGAGAAAUGCUUAAAAGGAGGUUGUGUGGAAUAAACAUGAGUGCUGCUCCUGAUGCUGUGUGUCGUCCAGUCAUUGGGAUUUGUAUGGGGAUAUUCGUGGAUUGCUU